rnacentral:rRNA from 1 species
UACGUAGGGUGCGAGCGUUGUCCGGAAUUACUGGGCGUAAAGAGCUCGUAGGUGGUUUGUCGCGUUGUCCGUGAAAACUCACAACUCAAUUGUGGGCGUGCGGGCGAUACGGGCAGACUGGAGUACUGCUGGGGAGACUGGAAUUCCUGGUGUAGCGGUGGAAUGCGCAGAUAUCAGGAGGAACACCGGUGGCGAAGGCGGGUCUCUGGGCAGUAACUGACGCUGAGGAGCGAAAUCGUGGGGAGCGAACAGG